CUACGGGAUGCUCCAGUCGAGAAUCUUCCGCAAUGGGCGAAAGCCUGACGGAGCAAUGCCGCGUGCAGGAUGAAGGCCUUUGGGUCGUAAACUGCUGUCACAGGGGAUGAAUACCUGACAGUACCCUGAGAGGAAGCCACGGCUAACUACGUGCCAGCAGCCGCGGUAAUACGUAGGUGGCGAGCGUUGUUCGGAUUUAUUGGGCGUAAAGGGUUCGUAGGGGGUUAACUAAGUUUGAUGUGAAAUCCCGGGGCUUAACCCCGGAACUGCAUUGAAAACUGGAGAACUAGAGUACCGGAGAGGAAAGCGGAAUUCCUGGAGUAGCGGUGGAAUGCGUAGAUAUCAGGAAGAACAUCGACAGCGAAGGCAGCUUUCUGGACGGUUACUGACCCUGAGGGACGAAAGCGUGGGUAGCGAACAGGAUUAGAUACCCUUGUAGUC
rnacentral:rRNA from 1 species